CAAUACUCACAAUGGGAUCAGCUCAACACAAACCCCUGCAACUGGUCUGGAAUCAUUUGCACGGAUGAUGGCUCUGGCUCAAGGGUUACUGGCAUCAACCUUACAAACAACAACAUUUCUGGAGACUCGUAUAACAACUUCUCUUUGCUGACUGCUCUUUCUCACCUCGAUCUUUCUCAAAACUAUAUCAGGGGUUCAAUUCCUAAUGACUUGAGCAACUGCCAAAACUUGGUUUAUCUCAAUCUCUCACACAAUAUGCUGGAUGGGGAGCUCAACCUGACUGGAUUGAGUAAUUUGCAAACUCUGGACUUGUCUGUGAAUAGGAUUUUCGGGGAAAUUCAGACCAGCUUUCGAGCAAUUUGUAACAAGUUGGUUGUGGCAAAUAUUUCGGCAAAUAAUUUCACCGGUAGGAUUGAUAAUUGCUUUGAUGGGUGCUCGAGUUUGCAGCACCUUGAUUUGAGCUCGAAUUUUUUCAGUGGGGGGNNNNNNNNGGUUUUUCGAGGCUCAAGGAAUUUUCAGUAUCUGAGAAUUUUCUUAGUGGAGAAGUUCUGGG
rnacentral:misc_RNA from 1 species